UACGUAGGGAGCAAGCGUUGUCCGGAUUUAUUGGGCGUAAAGAGCUCGUAGGCGGCUUGUCACGUCGGGUGUGAAAGCCCGGGGCUUAACCCCGGGUCUGCAUUCGAUACGGGCUAGCUAGAGUGUGGUAGGGGAGAUCGGAAUUCCUGGUGUAGCGGUGAAAUGCGCAGAUAUCAGGAGGAACACCGGUGGCGAAGGCGGAUCUCUGGGCCAUUACUGACGCUGAGGAGCGAAAGCGUGGGGAGCGAACAGG
rnacentral:rRNA from 1 species